CCUAGUGGCGGACGGGUGAGUAACGCGUGAGUAACCUGCCUUUCAGAGGGGGAUAACGUCUUGAAAAGGACGCUAAUACCGCAUAAUAUCUUUUUACCGCAUGGUAGAGAGAUCAAAGGAGCAAUCCGCUGAAAGAUGGACUCGCGUCCGAUUAGCCAGUUGGCGGGGUAACGGCCCACCAAAGCGACGAUCGGUAGCCGGACUGAGAGGUUGAACGGCCACAUUGGGACUGAGACACGGCCCAGACUCCUACGGGAGGCAGCAG
rnacentral:rRNA from 1 species